rnacentral:rRNA from 1 species
UACGAGGGGGGCAAGCGUUGUUCGGAAUUAUUGGGCGUAAAGGGCGCGUAGGCGGUUUGACAAGUCUGAUGUGAAAUCUCUGGGCUCAACCCAGAGUCUGCAUUAGAAACUGUCGGGCUUGAGUAUGGGAGAGGUGAGUGGAAUUCCGGUGUAGCGGUGAAAUGCGUAGAUAUCGGAAGGAACACCUGUGGCGAAAGCGGCUCACUGGACCAUAACUGACGCUGAGGCGCGAAAGCUAGGGAGCAAACAGG